rnacentral:lncRNA from 1 species
AAGAUUAUCCAAUUCGAAAAGUUCGGAGCUUGCGUAACUAGCUGCGUCUUCCUCCUCCUCCUCCUCCUCCUCAUCAUCACUAUACUCUUCAAUAUUGCCGUACUCUUCCUUUUUCUUCUGGUAAUUCUUUAAAAGAUCCUUAGCAGCUUCCACAACUCGACGAUUUUCUUCCAUGAUGCGCAACUCUAACUCUUUGUCGAUUGGUUUUCUUAUGGAUGCUUGACUUUGAUGGUGAUCAUUUUUAUGCCCACAGGGCCUGGAAUAAUCCUCAUGAUCAAGACAAAACCUGACUGACCUUUUUGUCCCGUUGCCUCUUGAAGAUGGAGUCUUACUCAAACAGGAUCUUGAAAACGAGGAAGCUGAAGAACAUGUUGACGAUGUUGGUUGCUCAGAUUUUG